CUGGCUUAACACAUGCAAGUCGAGGGGAAACGAUAUUGGAAGCUUGCUUCCGAUAGGCGUCGACCGGCGCACGGGUGAGUAACGCGUAUCCAACCUGCCCACCACUUGGGGAUAACCUUGCGAAAGUAAGACUAAUACCCAAUGAUAUCUCUAGAAGACAUCUGAAAGAGAUUAAAGAUUUAUCGGUGAUGGAUGGGGAUGCGUCUGAUUAGCUUGUUGGCGGGGUAACGGCCCACCAAGGCGACGAUCAGUAGGGGUUCUGAGAGGAAGGUCCCCCACAUUGGAACUGAGACACGGUCCAAACUCCUACGGGAGGCAGCAGUGAGGAAUAUUGGUCAAUGGACGAGAGUCUGAACCAGCCAAGUAGCGUGCAGGAAGACGGCCCUAUGGGUUGUAAACUGCUUUUAUAAGGGAAUAAAGUUAGUCUCGUGAGACUUUUUGCAUGUACCUUAUGAAUAAGGACCGGCUAAUUCCGUGCCAGCAGCCGCGGUAAUACGGAAGGUCCGGGCGUUAUCCGGAUUUAUUGGGUUUAAAGGGAGCGUAGGCCGGAGAUUAAGCGUGUUGUGAAAUGUAGACGCUCAACGUCUGCACUGCAGCGCGAACUGGUUUCCUUGAGUACGCACAAAGUGGGCGGAAUUCGUGGUGUAGCGGUGAAAUGCUUAGAUAUCACGAAGAACUCCGAUUGCGAAGGCAGCUCACUGGAGCGCAACUGACGCUGAAGCUCGAAAGUGCGGGUAUCGAACAGGAUUAGAUACCCUGGUAGUCCGCACGGUAAACGAUGGAUGCCCGCUGUUGGUCUGAAUAGGUCAGCGGCCAAGCGAAAGCAUUAAGCAUCCCACCUGAGGAGUACGCCGGCAACGGUGCAACUCAAAGGAAUUGACGGA
rnacentral:rRNA from 1 species